GGGGCUGUAGCUCAGCGGUAAAGCGCUUGCCUAGCACGUGUGAGGCACUGAGUUUGAUCCUCAGCAGCACUU
rnacentral:tRNA from 1 species